rnacentral:tRNA from 1 species
AGGGGUAUAGAAUAGUGGUUAUUUCGCCACGCUCACACCGUGGACAUCUUGGGUCCAAUUCCCAAUACCCCUA